UUGAACGAGUGGCGGACGGGUGAGUAACACGUGGGUAACCUGCCCUUAAGUGGGGGAUAACAUUUGGAAACAGAUGCUAAUACCGCAUAAAUCCAAGAACCGCAUGGUUCUUGGCUGAAAGAUGGCGUAAGCUAUCGCUUUUGGAUGGACCCGCGGCGUAUUAGCUAGUUGGUGAGGUAACGGCUCACCAAGGCAAUGAUACGUAGCCGAACUGAGAGGUUGAUCGGCCACAUUGGGACUGAGACACGGCCCAAACUCCUACGGGAGGCAGCAGUAGGGAAUCUUCCACAAUGGACGCAAGUCUGAUGGAGCAACGCCGCGUGAGUGAAGAAGGCUUUCGGGUCGUAAAACUCUGUUGUUGGAGAAGAAUGGUCGGCAGAGUAACUGUUGUCGGCGUGACGGUAUCCAACCAGAAAGCCACGGCUAACUACGUGCCAGCAGCCGCGGUAAUACGUAGGUGGCAAGCGUUAUCCGGAUUUAUUGGGCGUAAAGCGAGCGCAGGCGGUUUUUUAAGUCUGAUGUGAAAGCCCUCGGCUUAACCGAGGAAGUGCAUCGGAAACUGGGAAACUUGAGUGCAGAAGAGGACAGUGGAACUCCAUGUGUAGCGGUGAAAUGCGUAGAUAUAUGGAAGAACACCAGUGGCGAAGGCGGCUGUCUGGUCUGUAACUGACGCUGAGGCUCGAAAGCAUGGGUAGCGAACAGGAUUAGAUACCCUGGUAGUCCAUGCCGUAAACGAUGAAUGCUAGGUGUUGGAGGGUUUCCGCCCUUCAGUGCCGCAGCUAACGCAUUAAGC
rnacentral:rRNA from 2 species